rnacentral:tRNA from 2 species
GCCCCGUUAGCUCAGCUGGUAGAGCAGUUGCCUCUUAAGCAAACGGUCGUAGGUUCGAAUCCUGCACGGGGCA